GUAGGGAAUAUUGGGCAAUGGUCGGAAGACUGACCCAGCCAUGCCGCGUGCAGGAAGACGGCCCUCUGGGUUGUAAACUGCUUUUAUCUGGGAAGAAAAAGGCCAUGCGUGGCAAAUUGCCGGUACCAGAUGAAUAAGCACCGGCUAACUCCGUGCCAGCAGCCGCGGUAAUACGGAGGGUGCGAGCGUUGUCCGGAUUUAUUGGGUUUAAAGGGUGCGUAGGCGGCUGAUUAAGUCAGCGGUGAAAGACUUCGGCUUAACCGGAGCAGUGCCGUUGAUACUGGUUGGCUUGAGUGUCGGAGGGGUACAUGGAAUUGAUGGUGUAGCGGUGAAAUGCAUAGAUACCAUCAGGAACACCGAUAGCGAAGGCAUUGUACUGGCCGACAACUGACGCUGAUGCACGAAAGUGUGGGGAUCGAACAGGAUUAGAAACCCGUGUAGUCC
rnacentral:rRNA from 1 species